UGAAACAACUGCCAUGAUGUUUUAAUAUCAAUUGUCCCAGCUAUUACCAGAUGAGUGCAUAAAAGAUCUCCUCACACUAUUUACUUCAGAACGCAAAUCCAGGUCCAUUGUUAACUAGAGGGGCAACAGCAGGUGCAGCAGCAGGAUUAGCAGUUGCAGGAGUCCCAGAGAAAGCAGCACUUCCCGAAUGUGAUUUGAUAUAAACUUGCCAUCCACCAUUUCAACACCAGCCUGAAAGGAGGAGCAAAGAAAGGACCUGUUUCUUCUUCAUACAUCUUCCAAGCUUUAUUUCUAAUCAAUAUUGGUUGAAAAGAACAGCUGUAGUAUUCUAAAGAUAAGUGUCAUCUUA